rnacentral:rRNA from 1 species
UCCUGACGGAGCACGCCGCGUGAGUGAUGAAGGUUUUCGGAUCGUAAAACUCUGUUGUUAGGGAAGAACAAGUACCGUUCGAAUAGGGCGGUACCUUGACGGUACCUAACCAGAAAGCCACGGCUAACUACGUGCCAGCAGCCGCGGUAAUACGUAGGUGGCAAGCGUUGUCCGGAAUUAUUGGGCGUAAAGCGCGCGCAGGCGGUCUUUUAAGUCUGAUGUGAAAGCCCCCGGCUCAACCGGGGAGGGUCAUUGGAAACUGGGAGACUUGAGUGCAGAAGAGGAGAGUGGAAUUCCACGUGUAGCGGUGAAAUGCGUANAGAUGUGGAGGAACACCAGUGGCGAAGGCGACUCUCUGGUCUGUAACUGACGCUGAGGCGCGAAAGCGUGGGGAGCGAACAGGAUUAGAUACCCUGGUAGUCCACGCCGUAAACGAUGAGUGCUANGUGUUAGAGGGUUUCCGCCCUUUAGUGCUGCAGCAAACGCAUUAAGCACUCCGCCUGGGGAGUAC